rnacentral:tRNA from 1 species
GCAGCGGUCGUAUAACGGCUAAUACGUCGGCCUUCCAAGUCGAAAAUGUGGGUUCGACUCCCAUUCGCUGCUCCA